GGCAAUCCAAACCACGUGACCUCUGGUUGGCACACAAACUAACAAAGAGGUUAUGUUUGCAUCUAUUUUUCAAUGAUUUUUCAUUGUUUAUCGUCGUAUUUUGGAUUCAUUUGGAUUUCGUUUCCUGUUUUUGUGAACUUUAUAAACUUUACCACAAUGCAAACUGAUUAUUUAAGGAAAUUAUUAUUGGAAACUCCAGAUGUUGCGAGAAAGAUAUUUAUUGAAGCUGAAAAUAAUUGGGGAUUUAGAUCCAUACGCAAUUCAGUCAGAAUUAGAUUUUACAGUAAAGUGCAGUCCAUCAAGUUACUAUUAUAGAUAUUUAUACAUAUCUGGUGGAGUCUGAUAUGUCACAGUUGCUACUCUAAGCAGCAGAUGAAAGCAUACAAAAGCCUUCAGGCACAUAAAUAUUUUACAGCUGGAUUUGUUUUGAAUGGAGUAAAAAUUGUUAAUGAUUUCCUGAUUUCCAUAUUAUUGUCGGAAAGGUGAAGCAUUUCCAAAAAUCUAAUGCUAAACGACUAAAUGCUUGGGUGGGGUGAUAGCCAGUUCUGAUGACAUAGCAAAUUCACAUUGUAUGCGUAUGGCCGGUAAUAGUGAAGUCUGCAGCCAUAUUGCAGCAAUCCUAUUUUUAGCUUAGUAUGCUCAGGGCAAGACAGACGAAGAACCCAAUGUAUGUACAUAUGUUACAGCUACAUGGUUUGGAGAUAG